UACGUAGGGCGCAAGCGUUGUCCGGAAUUAUUGGGCGUAAAGAGCUCGUAGGCGGCCUGUCGCGUCCGCUGUGAAAUCCUGGGGCUUAACCCCGGGCGUGCAGUGGAUACGGGCUGGCUAGAGGCAGGCAGGGGAGAACGGAAUUCCCGGUGUAGCGGUGAAAUGCGCAGAUAUCGGGAGGAACACCGGUGGCGAAGGCGGUUCGCUGGGCCUGUUCUGACGCUGAGGAGCGAAAGCGUGGGGAGCGAACAGG
rnacentral:rRNA from 1 species